CGUCCCUACGGGGCGCAGCAGUGGGGGAUAUUGCACAAUGGAGGGAACUCUGAUGCAGCGACGCCGCGUGAGGGAAGAAGGUUUUCGGAUUGUAAACCUCUGUCUUCGGUGACGAAACGAGACGGUAGCCGAGGAGGAAGCCACGGCUAACUACGUGCCAGCAGCCGCGGUAAUACGUAGGUGGCAAGCGUUAUCCGGAUUUACUGGGUGUAAAGGGCGUGUAGGCGGGGACGCCAG
rnacentral:rRNA from 1 species